AGGAGAAAGAAGUGAUUGAAGAGCACUUCAGAAAGCUUGGUACAUUCAAAUCAGCAGGGCUUGAUUACUCGCAUCCCAGGACACUUAAGGAAUUGGCAAAUAUAAUUGCAAGACCACCAGCCUUUAUUUUAGAAAAUGAAGGUUGGACAGAAGAAGGUCCUGACAAGUAGAAUCAGCAGAUGGAGUACCUGUUUUUUAAAACAGGGAAAAGGACAGCUGUAGUAAUUAUAGACUAUUCAGCUUAUCUUGGAUACCUGGGAAGAUACAAGAGCAAAUCAUCAAACAAUCAAUUUGCAACCACCUAGAAGAGUACAAGGAAUAUUGAUCUCAGCGUUACUUUGACCAUUAAUGAAUUAUGAUGGCAAUAAGCAAAGAUUCGCACCUCUAGCCUCCAGGGAGCUUAAUCUUCUGCUACAACGUUUGCAUUUGGUGUCUCUCUACUGCUCAGGCUGGAGUGCAGUGGUGCAAUCAUAGCUCACUGCAGCCUCGACUUCCUGGACUCAGGUGACCCUCUCGCCUGAAACCAUACUCCCCCUCAAGUAGCUGAGACUACAGGUAUGAAAACUGAGGUGCAGAAAGAAAUAACUAUUGAAAGUCACAAAACUGUUGCAGCAGCCUAGGAGGAAAGCAGCAGAGAAAGACGAACCUGUGACCCUACUGAGCUGCAGGCAGAAGAAUCUUCUUUGUACUGCUCGAGGUCAAGAAUGUGUUUACCCCCGGCCUAAUGCUCUGAACUUUUGCAUCUGAGUGCAGGACUUCAGGACCUCUGAAGGCCACCACACAGUGGAAUGAAGCUCCCUAGCAGAAGCAACUGGAUUAAACGUGCAACAAGACCGGUCCACACCAGCCCCCCAAGUCACUGAACUCAAUGACAUCAUGCCCAGGCAGAGAAAGUCAACAGGCCUCUGGCCCGGGUCCCCUCCACUCCUCUCAUUUCUUCUGCCUCUCGCUGUUCUUAACCCAGGGACGGUAUUUAGAAAGCAGAGCGGGUUCAGGCAGCCCUCUCAAUUACUUUGGCUGGAACCUUCCUGAGUACAUUUUGCUAUCUCUUUGUGAUGUAAACAGGGGCAUUCACAGUUGGCAGGGGAUGCUCUUUCUGUUUUAAUUACACACGGCAUAAUUAUAGUCCCAGGGUCUGGAAACAGCACAAAGUUCUUUGGAGAACUUCAUAGGGAUUUUUCUAUUAUGACAUAGUUUAUCAGGAGAAAAAAAAAAGUAAGGCAAAAGACAUUUCCAAACAGGAACUAAUAACAAUAUUUAUACUAGCAUUCCAUUCCAUAAUGAGCAGAUCACAAAAUCAGAGUAGACAUUUUUUCUGGAGGCGGGGGUAGAGUUUCAAAAUUUUGGACUCAUGGACAGUGGUGGCAAAAUCUAGAUAAAUACUAAUGAAUGGAUGUGGGUGGAGAAGGAUAUAUACAUAAAUGUUUUUUUACUUAAGAAAGCAAUUAGAAGGCAUCCAGCUGUAUCUGAGGGAAUUUGCACGUACCCUGGACCCUGAGGAUAUGGAAAAAGAUCCUACCAUAGUCAUAGUAAUCUGGCCUAAACCUGAGUCGUAAAAUUCUCU